rnacentral:rRNA from 1 species
GUUUGAUCCUGGCUCAGGACGAACGCGGCGGCGUGCUUAACACAUGCAAGUCGAACGAUGAAGCCUCGGGGUGGAUUAGUGGCGAACGGGUGAGUAACACGUGGGCAAUCUGCCCUGCACUCUGGGACAAGCCCUGGAAACGGGGUCUAAUACCGGAUAACCGCCGAGGCAUCUCGGCGGGUGGAAAGCUCCGGCGGUGCAGGAUGAGCCCGCGGCCUAUCAGCUUGUUGGUGAGGUAGUGGCUCACCAAGGCGACGACGGGUAGCCGGCCUGAGAGGGCGACCGGCCACACUGGGACUGAGACACGGCCCAGACUCCUACGGGAGGCAGCAGUGGGGAAUAUUGCACAAUGGGCGAAAGCCUGAUGCAGCGACGCCGCGUGAGGGAUGACGGCCUUCGGGUUGUAAACCUCUUUCAGCAGGGAAGAAGCGAGAGUGACGGUACCUGCAGAAGAAGCGCCGGCUAACUACGUGCCAGCAGCCGCGGUAAUACGUAGGGCGCAAGCGUUGUCCGGAAUUAUUGGGCGUAAAGAGCUCGUAGGCGGCUUGUCACGUCGGGUGUGAAAGCCCGGGGCUUAACCCCGGUGCAUUCAUACGGGCAGGCUAGAGUUAGGGGAGUGGACUGAAAUGCGCAGAUAUCAGGAGGAACACCGGGGCGAAGGCGGGCCAUGCG